UACGUAGGGGGCAAGCGUUGUCCGGAUUUAUUGGGCGUAAAGAGCGUGUAGGCGGCUUUACAGGUCCGUUGUGAAAACUCGAGGCUCAACCUCGAGACGCCGGUGGAAACCGUAAAGCUAGAGUCCGGAAGAGGAGAGUGGAAUUCCUGGUGUAGCGGUGAAAUGCGCAGAUAUCAGGAGGAACACCCGUGGCGAAAGCGGCUCUCUGGAACGGUACUGACGCUGAGACGCGAAAGCGUGGGGAGCGAACAGG
rnacentral:rRNA from 1 species